UUGAAAGGGAAACGAUUGAAGUCAGUCGUACCUGCGGGAUAAUCAGCCUUUCGAGUAUGAUUCUGUGGAGUGUAAGGAGUUUAACCGUCUUCAUACCUGCAUAUUCGCGCGCUUUGGGUGUACUUGUCCGUAUGGUAGGUUAACAUCAAUUUUGGUCGUUAUAAAAUGACUAGGGGAAUGUAGCUUUGAUCCCGUAUUGAAGUGUUAUAGCCUCUGGUAAAUGCAGUGACUAGGAUUGAGGAUUGCAACGGAUACCUUUCGGGGCUACUCGUCUAAUCUCUGGAAGUUACUUUGGUACUAAAAGCUUGCUUAUGGUUAUCGAAGUUGACGGUCAAUAGGUUAGAACGAGUUAAAUUCGUUAAGGAUGUUGACGUA
rnacentral:rRNA from 1 species